GACGAACGCUGGCGGCGUGCUUAACACAUGCAAGUCGAACGGAAAGGCCCUGCUUUUUUGGGGUGCUCGAGUGGCGAACGGGUGAGUAACACGUGAGUAACCUGCCCUUGACUUUGGGAUAACUUCAGGUAACUUGGGCUAAUACCGGAUAGGAGCUCCUACUGCAUGGUGGGGGUUGGAAAGUUUCGGCGGUUGGGGAUGGACUCGCGGCUUAUCAGCUUGUUGGUGGGGUAUUGGCUUACCAAGGCUUUGACGGGUAGCCGGCGUGAGAGGGUGACCGGCGACAUGGGGACUGAGAGACGGCCCAGAGUCCUACGGGAGGCAGCAGUGGGGAAUCUUGCACAAUGGGCCGACGCCUGAUGCAGCAACGCCGCGUGCGGGAUGACGGCCUGCGGGUUGUAAACCGCUUUCGCCUGUGACGAAGGGUGAGUGACGGCAAUGGGUAAAGAAGCACCGGCUAACUACGUG
rnacentral:rRNA from 1 species